GUGCUUGCUUCAGCAGCACAUAUACUGAAAUUGGAACAAUACAGAGAAGAUUAGCAUGGCUCCUGCACAUGG
rnacentral:snRNA from 1 species